GCCCCGGCCGCGGUGGCCGGCGCGGCCUGCCCUUUGUGCCCGCAGCCCGCGUCCGUGCCCAUGGCCGCCGCGCUGGGCGCCCGCCCGCGGACCUAGCCCCCGCGCCUGGGAUGCGCCGGGGAUGCGCGUGCCGCGGCCCUGCGGCUGCCGGCGGCUGGGUGCGCGGCGAUGGAGCGCGGCAUGAGGAAGUUCAGCGUGCGCCGCUUCUUCUCGGUGUACCUGCGCAGGAAGUCGCGCUCCAAGAGCUCCAGCCUGAGCCGGCUCGAGGAGGAAGGCAUCGUGAAGGAGAUCGACAUCAGUCAUCAUGUCAAAGAAGGCUUCGAAAAGGCAGACCCUUCCCAGUUUGAACUGUUGAAAGUUUUAGGACAAGGAUCCUAUGGAAAGGUGUUCCUGGUGAGGAAGGUAAAGGGGUCUGAUGCUGGGCAGCUCUAUGCAAUGAAAGUCCUCAAGAAAGCUACCUUAAAAGUUCGGGACCGGGUCAGGUCGAAGAUGGAGAGAGACAUUCUGGCAGAAGUGAACCAUCCCUUCAUUGUAAAGCUUCAUUACGCCUUUCAGACGGAAGGGAAGCUCUACCUGAUCCUGGACUUCCUGCGGGGAGGGGACCUCUUCACCCGACUCUCCAAAGAGGUGAUGUUCACCGAGGAGGAUGUCAAAUUCUACCUGGCUGAGCUUGCCCUGGCUCUGGACCACCUGCACGGCCUGGGCAUCAUCUACAGAGACCUGAAACCUGAGAACAUCCUCCUGGAUGAAGAAGGACAUAUCAAAAUCACAGAUUUCGGCCUGAGUAAGGAAGCCAUCGACCACGAUAAGAGAGCGUAUUCAUUCUGCGGGACGAUAGAGUACAUGGCGCCCGAGGUGGUGAACCGGCGGGGACACACGCAGAGUGCCGACUGGUGGUCCUUCGGCGUGCUCAUGUUCGAGAUGCUCACGGGGUCCCUGCCGUUCCAGGGGAAGGACAGGAAGGAGACCAUGGCCCUCAUCCUCAAAGCCAAGCUGGGGAUGCCUCAGUUCCUGAGCACAGAGGCCCAGAGCCUGCUGAGAGCCCUCUUCAAACGGAACCCCUGCAACCGGCUGGGUGCUGGCAUUGACGGAGUGGAGGAAAUUAAGCGUCACCCUUUCUUCGGUACUGUAGACUGGAAUAAGCUGUACCGGAAGGAAAUCAAGCCACCCUUCAAGCCAGCAGUGGGCAGGCCCGAAGACACCUUCCACUUUGACCCUGAGUUCACAGCACGGACACCCACAGACUCUCCUGGUGUCCCCCCGAGUGCCAACGCUCACCACCUGUUUAGAGGAUUCAGUUUUGUGGCCUCCAACCUGGUCCAGGAGCCCUCACAGCAGGAUCUGCACAAGGUCCCUGUUCACCCGAUUGUGCAGCAGUUACACGGGAACAAUAUCCACUUCACCGAUGGCUACGAGAUCAAAGAGGACAUUGGGGUGGGCUCCUACUCAGUGUGCAAGCGAUGUGUGCAUAAAGCCACUGAUGCAGAGUACGCCGUGAAGAUCAUUGAUAAGAGUAAAAGAGACCCCUCAGAAGAGAUCGAGAUCCUGCUGCGGUACGGCCAGCACCCAAACAUCAUCACCCUCAAAGACGUCUAUGACGACGGCAAGUUCGUGUACCUGGUCAUGGAGCUGAUGCGUGGCGGCGAGCUCCUGGACCGCAUCCUCCGGCAGCGCUACUUCUCGGAGCGUGAGGCGAGCGACGUGCUGUGCACCAUCACCAAGACCAUGGACUACCUCCACUCCCAGGGGGUUGUUCAUCGAGACCUGAAGCCGAGUAAUAUUCUGUACAUGGACGAGUCUGGAAACCCGGAAUCCAUCCGCAUCUGUGACUUUGGGUUUGCCAAGCAGCUGCGAGCGGAGAACGGGCUGCUGAUGACGCCCUGCUACACCGCAAACUUUGUGGCCCCCGAGGUCCUGAAGCGGCAGGGCUAUGAUGCGGCGUGUGACAUCUGGAGUCUGGGGAUCCUGCUGUACACCAUGCUGGCGGGAUUUACCCCUUUUGCAAACGGACCAGACGAUACUCCCGAGGAGAUUCUGGCAAGGAUUGGCAGUGGGAAAUACGCCCUUUCAGGGGGAAACUGGGAUUCUAUAUCUGACGCAGCAAAAGAUGUCGUGUCCAAGAUGCUCCACGUCGACCCUCACCAGCGCCUGACGGCAGUUCAAGUGCUAAAACACCCGUGGAUUGUCAACAGAGAGUACCUGUCCCAAAACCAGCUCAGCAGACAGGACGUGCACCUGGUGAAGGGUGCUGUGGCUGCCACCUACUUCGCUCUGAACAGAACACCUCAGGCUCCGCGGCUGGAGCCAGUGCUGUCAUCCAACCUGGCCCAGCGCCGAGGCAUGAAGAGACUCACAUCCACGCGGUUAUAGCAGGAAAGCAAGACACCUGGUCGCCAGCCCCGCGCGUCCCCAGCCCAGCGCCCUCUUGGGCUCGCAGGCGCUGGACUCGGAUCCUGCUCACGGGCACCCCGCCGUGACCACGCGUCCAGCAUGAAGGCAGAACCCGCCUUCGCCGUUUGUGUGUUUUCUUUUUCGGCCCUGGCACGGAUCCCGACCGGUGACGUCUCAGAGCCUCGCUGUGCCAACCCUGCACCCACCUCCUCCAUCCCGAGCAAAACCAAAUGCCACUGUGCCACCGUGCUGAUUCUAGAGGCUCCUUCAGAAUCUUAGGUCUUUUCAUGUCAUGGCUUAUACUUCUAUGGGGAGAGAUUUUUCCCGUUAUGAAGCCAGUCGCUAGGUUCUCCUCCCAGCAGAGGCGUCCUCGUGGUCCUGGUAGGACAGUGUCAGUGGAGGAGGUGUCAUGGGCGGUCAGAGGGCGGGAGCCACCAGCACUCUGGCGUUCUGGCAGGUGGAAUGAUGUGGGGCUUUCACUGUGGCACCCCAGAGGGGACGCCUGGUCCCGUCCAAAGAAAUCCAAAGAGCUGUUACCGCACAGCUGCCUCUAGUUUUUGACUGGGGUGCUGGGUGGCCUCGCCUUUCCUGUCACAGGUUUGAAUGAGCGGAAAGAGCCCAGCCAAGAAUCGGGGUAGCAUGGCUUUGCCGCUAAAGCUACACUUCACAGCAUCGAGGGGGGCUCCGGGAAGGGGCCAGGUGGAGCUGUAUUUACCAUGUCCUGGCCCUCCCGUGGAGGGGCCGUGACUGUUGCAGUCACGGGCCACCAGAGGCUUCCCCGAGAGCUCCAGUGGUGGCGGUGGCCAUGCCGAGCCCACGGCAGCUUGCGUGUGCUGACCCAGAGCGGGGUUUGCUGUGCUCGCUUGUGUUUUUCUGGUCUACAGAAAAACCAGCUAUUGGAAAAGUUGGGCUUUGCCGCCUCCCACCGAUGCUUUAGAGCCCAGAGGCCCCCUCCCCCAGGGCAGGGGUGGCGGGGAGGAAGCUGAGGUCGCCUUACGGACAGUAGUGAUGCACUUUGUAGAAGCUGUGCUUUUGUGUUGCGUUGUGUGUCUGUGUUGCAUAGAUCUGUUUUCAAAUUGACAUUUCACUGGUAUUUUAUGUUUCCCUGGGUGUGCUGUGCACACGGGCGUGGGCCAUGCUGUGCUGUCCUUUCUUAAAUAAAAUCAUGUGAGAAGGUUCCUGGGCAGGCCCUGCACGCUGCCCAGAGAGCGAACAUGUGCUCUUCAGCCUCCCAUAGGGAUGCCGAGGACGCCCUCCCAGUGGUCCCCCAGCCAGGGGCCCACCCACCUGGCUCCCCGCCCACUGCCACCGGCGCCUUCCCCCCAGCACCGCUGAGGAGCAGCCCCUGUGUGCCAGGUGGGGCUCAGGAGGCCCACGUUGGUCACAGCCGGGUUUUCACUAAGGAGCCUGUAUUUCAUAGUUUCCUUUUUCCCUCCAUCUCCAUCUGCUCUGGCACACACACACAAAGACUGCCGCAUUCUGAAAAAUAACCCCUUAGCUUGGUCUAAUUGUGUUCAGACCUUAAAAUAUAAACUUGUUUCAGAAGCUUUAUCUCAUGAUGUUUUUUUCCCCAGAGAACCACAAAAUAUGAAAGGUAGGGACAGAUCAUGUACCUGUUUUCCUAUAGUGUCCGUUGGGCACUUCUUAUAUUUUCUCAAUAGAAAAUGCUUUUUCCCAAGACUAAAAUGACUUCCACUAUGAUCAUUUUUUAGGUCUGAAUUAUUCCAUUUCUUAGAAACUUAGAAAAAUUGGAUAGUUCUUAGGUCUCAGAUUUUGUCCCCCUAGAAGUGGACAAAGGUGUUACAGCUGCUCCCUACGCAGGCAUCGGCUGCCGGGCUUUGGCUGGGAUCAUUUGCACAUGUGUGUGUUUGCUUGUGGUCCAUAAGUUCUGAUGGAGGAAGGGGAGGGGACCCCAGGAGUGACUGAGAAAUCAUCGCUGAGAAGGCGGCCGUGGCGUGUUCUCCAUGGGCCACAUCGUGCCGGCCUGUUGUCUUUUUCAGUCAUGCCCAUUUGCACAGCCUUAGGUUCUGAACUGAGCAUGCCACAGGGACCGAUGAGACUCACCGGCACACCAGACUGUCCCCAACCACAUUAGCUGUGCGUCAGCAGAGCACGAUAUGGGUCACCUGCUCGCCGAGUGUCUGGAGAACCCCUCCACGGUCCCAUCCUUAUCCAGCACAAAAUGAUACUUGAAAUCCUUCAACAGAAAGUCAGCCUAAAGAAGUUAUAAUAUUUUAAACUAAACUUUCAAAACUCAAGUGAACAGCAAGUGGCUGGGCCUUAUCAACAGCGGUUGAUGUGUGCAUGAAGGUGUGAUGACAAGUUUCACUUCACCUGUUCAGCUCACCUCCACAUGUAAUGAGAGACUCCGUGUGGUUUGCGCGAAUGACAUAGACUUCCCAGAAAGUUAAAUAGCUCCCCCUGCUCACACAGAAGGUCAUAACCGGCUGCAUCAUAAACACCGCAGGACUUGUCAUGAGAAAACCGAGCCCUAGGUCUCGAGCUCCCUAGCCCACCGCUAGAUGGCGCCACCCUACAGAGUCCCCCAUCCUGCAGCCCAUUGAUGGGAGAGCUUGGCCAAUUCCACCCCCAAAGUCAAACGCGGGCAAGAGGCCACUGCCAGCCUCCGCUGCUACCACAUGGCACCUCACGGACAGGGAGUGACAAAUGGUGGAAAAAAGCAAACCCUUUCUUGGACUCUAGAGAGAAGCAGGGGCGAGGACUUCUCAGCUUACUGCAUUCACAGAAGAGCCCACACUUGGAUCCAGAAUAGAAGUAGCCCCAUUUCUCCAGGCCACAUGGACACAGGAAGUCCACAGCCUGCUCCAAAUUUGUUUUGUAUGGGAAAUAAUCAUUUCCUGUUUUCAUCCCAAAUGAAAAGCCUUUGCAUUUUUCAGCACUUACCAGCUUCACAGGGAAACUAAAAAAGGUCUUUAAUUUCAAAAGCUCAUUCAUUUUCUAUUUCCUAUUAAAUUGCUGGUUUUUUUCCAGGACUAAAUUUGUAUUUGCAUAUUGCAGAUGAGAUCAUUCGAAUUCAUAAACCGAGGAGCCUUCUGAUGGGCUAAUAGAGGCACACAGCACUUUUUCUCAAAAUGUAAUCACAAAACCUGAAAUUCGAAACAUCUGACAAAGAACUUAAGGACCUUUUACUCCAAAUCUUCCUCGUGGAGACGGGAGUGUGCUCAGGGUCACACAGCCACCCUGAACUUAGGGAUUAAAGCUGGAGCUCUCCCCCACCUUAUGUUUCUAGUUC